rnacentral:tRNA from 1 species
GGCUCUGUAGCUCAGUAGGUAGAGCAACGGACUGAAAAUCCGUGUGUCGCCAGUUCAAUUCUGGCCGGAGCCACCA